rnacentral:lncRNA from 7 species
GUGAUUUUUUGGAUACAUGGGGGAUUCUUGUAGCAAAAAUGUUUGAUUUUGGGGUCAAAUGGGGAUAUUUGAAGAGCAAAAGUGUGAUUUCCGAGUUAAAUGGGGGAUUUUCCUAGAGAAGAUGUGUGAUUUGGGGGAUAAUGGGGUAUUUUUGAAGAGAUAAAGCAUGAUUUUGGGGUAAAUGGGGAUUUUCCAAGAGAAAAUGUGUGAUUUGGGGGUUAAAAGGGGGAUUUCUGAGAGAAAAUGUGUGCUUUUGGGGUUAAUGGGGUAUUUUUGGAGAGAAAAUGCAUGAUUUGGGGGUAAAUGCGUAUUUUCCAAGAGAAAAGGUGAGGUUUUUGAGUUAAAUGGGGGGUUUUCCAAGAGAAAAUGCGUGAUUUUGGGGUUAAACGGGGGAUUGUUGAAGAGAAAACGGCAAUUUUUUGGUUUAAACAGCAAGUUUUGUAGAGAAUAUGCAUGAUUUUCGUUUAAAACAGAGAUUCUCAAAGAGAAAAUGCAUUAUUUUUGUUUAAAU